rnacentral:rRNA from 1 species
CCUACGGGCGGCUGCAGUGAGGAAUAUUGGUCAAUGGGCUUACGCCUGAACCAGCCAAGUCGCGUGAGGGAAGACUGCCCUAUGGGUUGUAAACCUCUUUUGUCAGGGAGCAACGCCGGCUACGUGUAGCCGGACUGAGAGUACCUGAAGAAAAAGCAUCGGCUAACUCCGUGACAGCAGCCGCGGUAAUACGGAGGAUGCGAGCGUUAUCCGGAUUUAUUGGGUUAAAAGGGUGCGUAGGCGGAAUGCCAAGUCAGUGGUAAAAUCGCGGGGCUCAACCUCGCUCCGCCGUUGAAACUGGCGUUCUUGAGUGGGCGAGAGGUAUGCGGAAUGCGUGGUGAAGCGGUGAAAUGCAUAGAUAUCACGCAGAACACCGAUUGCGAAGGCAGCAUACCGGCGCCCAACUGACGCUGAAGCACGAAAGCGUGGGUAUCGAACAGGAUUAGAUACCCUUGUAGUC